rnacentral:lncRNA from 1 species
UUAACAUCCCUUACACUAAAACCAAAACGUGCUCAAAAUAUAAAAGAUUAACUAACUAAAGAGAAAUUCGAAGUAAAAGCUAUGGAUAUGACUAUGGAGUCUUUAGGCAUCCCCUUCGUCAUCUUCUUGCGGAACGGGCUCGGGAACAAUGUCCUCCUGAACUGAAAUGAUUAAAUAAGGAAUGAGCUACACUAGCCCAGUAAAGACAUCACAAUAUCUCGCCGUCACGGAAGUAAAGGUGGGUAGAAAACACAAAAAGACCAAUGGAGCAUAAUUUACAAUAAACCUAUUUAUCAGUAAUAAAACCUUUACCAUUCACUUAUCUCGGUGAGAUUCAUAAAACAAUAUACAUUAUCAUCAUUAUGAAAUCAUAUAAACUAUGUAACAUA